rnacentral:rRNA from 1 species
AGCGAACGCUGGCGGCAGGCCUAACACAUGCAAGUCGAACGAACUCUUCGGGGUUAGUGGCGGACGGGUGGGUAACCCGUGGGAACGUGCCUUUUGGUUCGGAAUAACUCAGGGAAACUUGUGCUAAUACCGAAUGUGCCAUUCGGGGGAAAGAUUUAUCGCCAUUAGAGCGGCCGGCGUCUGAUUAGCUAGUUGGUGAGGUAACGGCUCACCAAGGCGACGAUCAGUAGCUGGUCUGAGAGGAUGACCAGCCACACUGGGACUGAGACACGGCCCAGACUCCUACGGGAGGCAGCAGUGGGGAAUCUUGCGCAAUGGGCGAAAGCCUGACGCAUCCAUGCCGCGUGAAUGAUGAAGGUCUUAGGAUUGUAAAAUUCUUUCACCGGGGACGAUAAUGACGGUACCCGGAGAAGAAGCCCCGGCUAACUUCGUG